AUUGAACGCUGGCGGCAGGCCUAACACAUGCAAGUCGAGCGGAUGAAGGGAGCUUGCUCCUUGAUUCAGCGGCGGACGGGUGAGUAAUGCCUAGGAAUCUGCCUGGUAGUGGGGGAUAACGUCCGGAAACGUGCGCUAAUACCGCAUACGUCCUGAGGGAGAAAGUGGGGGAUCUUCGGACCUCACGCUAUCAGAUGAGCCUAGGUCGGAUUAGCUAGUUGGUGGGGUAAAGGCCUACCAAGGCGACGAUCCGUAACUGGUCUGAGAGGAUGAUCAGUCACACUGAGACUGAGACACGGUCCAGACUCCUACGGGAGGCAGAAGUGGGGAAUAUUGGAAGAUGGGCGAAAGACUGAUCCAGCGAUGCCGCGUGUGUGCAGAAGGUCUUCGGAUUGUAAAGCACUUUAAGUUGGGAGGAAGGGCAGUAAGUUAAUCCAUUGCUGUUUUGACGUUACCAACAGAAUAAGCACCGGCUAACUUCGUG
rnacentral:rRNA from 1 species